GACGAACGCUGGCGGCGUGCUUAACACAUGCAAGUCGAACGGAAAGGCCCUGCUUUUGUGGGGUGCUCGAGUGGCGACCGGGUGAGUAACACGUGAGUAACCUGCCCUUGACUUUGGGAUAACUUCAGGAAACUGGGGCUAAUACCGGAUCGGAGCUCCUGCUGCAUGGUGGGGGUUGGAAAGUUUCGGCGGUUGGGGUUGGACUCGCGGCUUAUCAGCUUGUUGGUGGGGUAGUGGCUUACCAAGGCUUUGACGGGUAGCCGGCCUGAGAGGGUGACCGGCCACAUUGGGACUGAGAUACGGCCCAGACUCCUACGGGAGGCAGCAGUGGGGAAUAUUGCACAAUGGGCGGAAGCCUGAUGCAGCAACGCCGCGUGCGGGAUGACGGCCUUCGGGUUGUAAACCGCUUUCGCCUGUGACGAAGCGUGAGUGACGGUAAUGGGUAAAGAAGCACCGGCUAACUACGUG
rnacentral:rRNA from 1 species